UGGGCUCUGCAUUCCCCACGGAAUCCUCCUCCCAGUGGCUUUCCCCUCUUUUCCAAAGGGCUUCAGACACAAUUUGGCAAAGCCCAGCGUCACUCCUGACUGGCACAGAGGUUUUUUAACCAUCAGCUCAUCGGGGGAGAUCCUUCCAAAAGCCCCAGAGUGAAUUCACACCUUUGCACCCGGGGCAGCAGCACUGGGCACCCCAAAGUGUGGGGUUUUAUUUGGCAUUUCAGCACUGGGCACCCCAAAGUGUGGGGUUUUGGUAUUUCAGCACUGGGCACCCCCAAAGUCAGUUUUUAUUUGGUAUUUCACCACUGGGCACCCCCAAAAUGUUUUUGGUUUUUUCAGCAUUUCAGCACUGGGCAUCCCCAAAAUGUGGGGGUUUAUUUGGUAUUUCAGCACUGGGCACCCCCAAAAUGUGGGGUUUUAUUUGGUAUUUCACCACUGGGCACCCCCAAAAUGUGGGGGUUUUUUUGGCAUUUCAGCACUGGGCACCCCCAAAAUGUGGGGGUUUAUUUGGUAUUUCAGCACUGGGCACCCCCAAAAUGUUUUUGGUUUUUGAUAUUUCAGCACUGGGCACCCCCAAAGUGUGGGAUUUUUUGGGUAUUUCAGCACUGGGCACCCCCAAAAUGUGGGGUUUUAUUUGGUAUUUCACCACUGGGCACCCCCAAAAUGUGGGGUUUUGGUAUUUCAGCCCUUGGCACCCCAAAGUGUGGGUUUUUUUUGAUAUUUCAGCACUUGGCACCUCCAAAGUCAGGUUUUUUUCAGCAUUUCAGCCCUGGGCACCCCCAAAGUGUGGGGUUUUAUUUGGUAUUUCAGCACUGGGCACCCCCAAAAUGUGGGGGUUUGUUUUGGCAUUUCUCUACCACUUUUCCACGCUGGGAUCUGCACGUUUGGUGAAGGCUCCCUCCAGCCUGCCUGGGUGGGGUGCUGAGGUCGGGUUGGUGCUCUCUGCCUCCAGGAAGGUUUGGGCUCUGAGCAGCCAAGGGCAGGGCUGGCACUUUCUCUAAGGUGGCACAAAAUGGGUUUGGAGACACCUCAGGCCCAGCUGGGGCUUCCAGAGAGAAUCAGAGCAGCCACAAAAAUCCACAACAAGGUGGAGGGGAUUCUCCCAGGAGCUGCAGCUCACCCUGGGUGAAGCUGCUCCCCAAAUCCUCGUUUUCUUUGCCCUGUGUGGUGCUGCCCGAGCCCUGCCAACCUUCUGGCCAUGCCUGGCUGGACCCAGCAGAUCCAGAGCAGAGCAGGGAUCUCUGAUCUCGGAUCUCUGAGGGAUCUAAUCAGGCACCAGCAGCUGGGGCAGCCGUUGACUCUGCGUUUCCUCCCCCUGAUAAAUAACGAUAAAUAAUGAUAAAUAAUGAUAAAUAAUGAUAAAUAAUGAUAAAGAAUGAUAAAUAAAAUGAUAAAUAAUGAUAAAUAAUGAUAAAUAAUGAUAAAGAAUGAUAAAUAAAAUUAUAAAUAAUGAUAAAUAAUGAUAAAGAAUAAUAAAUAAUGAUAAAUAAAAUUAUAAAUAAUGAUAAAGAAUGAUAAAUAAUGAUAAAUAAUGAUAAAUAAAAUGAUAAAUAAUGAUAAAUCAUUCCACUCUGCAGAGAUGGCUCCAUCCUGAGCUCUUCUGGCCCUGCUCCAGAAAAAACCAUCUCUUUUUGAGCCCGGGACUGGGCCUGGCUGAACCAUCAGUGUCAGUAAGGCCAGGCUCUUGUUUCAGGCUCCUGCACUCUGAGCUCCUCCUGGAGCUGAGGAGAUGAAAGUCUGAGAGUGAAAAUUCCUCUCUGGAGAGGGAGGACAGAGCUGCAGCUCCAGCCUGGAGCUGCUUCCAGGGACAGAGUGCCUGGCUGGGAUCUCAAGGGAUUCUUGCCAUAAAAUUCCUUUCUCACCCCCAGAGUGGGGUCAGCAGUUUGAGGAAAUCUGGGGUGGGGAUGCUCUGAUCCCAGGAAAGGGGACAGAACAACUGGAAACGGCCCCAGAGGUUGGACAGCAGCAGGAAUUUCCUCAUGGAAAGGUGGUCAGGCCUUGGGACAGCCCAGGGAGGUGUGGAGUGCCCAUCCCUGGGUGUCCCAGCAAUUCCUGGAUGUGGCACUGAGUGCUGGGGGCACGGCUGGGAUUUGGAGAACGAGGUUUCUGUGCCCUCCCUGCCCACGUCCUGGCGCUGCUGCAGAUGCCCCUGGAGCUGUCACUCCCUCGUGGCCUGUGCCACCCUCUCAGGGACAUCCAGGAGAGCCCAGGCUGUAAUUUCUGCUUCCAAACUGCCUCAACCAACAUCACCCCGUGACUCAGAGCCCGGAAUAGAAGAGUGGAAAUUGAAAUUCACGGAGCCCUGCAGUGCCCAGCUCUGUGUGGGCACAACCUUUGGGAGACUCACUUGCUCCAGUGCUAAAGAGGGAGGAAAAUAGAAAAAAAAAAAAAACCCAAAAAACCCCAAACCCAGCACUAACAGCUAUUUAAUUGCUUGUGAACUUCUCUGACUAAAAAACAGGGGCAGCUCUCCCCACCCAAAUUUGGAUUCUGGCCCUUUCCCAGCUGAAGUCACAGCCCAGCUCUCCAACGGUUUUUUGUUGGGUUUGGGGUUUUUUAUUAUCGAGUUCCUCUCAGCAUCUGGGCUGCCAAAAACGCCUUUUUUCCCCCCAGGAAGCAGCAGCAGUUUCUCCUCAUCAGCCACCCCAGCGAGCGAGUUCUCAUCAGCUCAAGUGACAACAAAUGCAGGUGCUGCUCUGCUUUUCCCCGUGCAGGGCGAGUCCUUCCAGCAAACUCGGGGUGGGAACAGCUGUUUCCAGUGAAAAAACCAAAAAAAAACCCCCACCAUCCUGCUGACCCAAGCUGAAACGGGAUUUUUGACCUUGAGAGCUCCAAAGUUGCUCCAAAGGAGGGACCCUGUGAAGAUUAAAAAUAAGGAAUCUUUGUGAUGCUUCUGCAGCUCCUAGAGCUGGGUGAGUUCAUCACAAAGCAAAGGGCCAAGGCUUUAAAUAGCACGAGGUUUCUGAUGACUUUUUGAAGUCUUCAGCUGGAGAACUCGCCCCAGCAUUUGCAAACAUUCAUUUAGGAGCAGCUGGUUUUCUCAACUGCGUUCUUGUCUCAUUUUUCCUCUCGUUUUGUUCGCACACACACACACAAAAUAAGAUAUUUGCUGCUGCAGAUGUUCAGGGGAGGCUGCUCUGUUCUCAUCUCCGGGGCUGUGGAUGAAUAGAACGUUGAUUUUUCUUCAAUUUAGGGCUCAGUUUAGCCCCUGUUUCUCGGGUUAGGUGCUGAUACAAUGUCUGGAUCUCUCUCUCUGUAUAAAUGUAUAUAUUUUGUGUAUAAAUGUAUAUAUUUUGUGUAUAAAUGUAUAUAUUUUGUGUAUAAA